GUAGGUGGCAAGCGUUGUCCGGAAUUAUUGGGCGUAAAGCGCGCGCAGGCGGUUCUUUAAGUCUGAUGUGAAAGCCCACGGCUCAACCGUGGAGGGUCAUUGGAAACUGGAGAACUUGAGUACAGAAGAGGAAAGCGGAAUUCCACGUGUAGCGGUGAAAUGCGUAGAGAUGUGGAGGAACAGCAGUGGCGAAGGCGGCUUUCUGGUCUGUAACUGACGCUGAGGCGCGAAAGCGUGGGGGAGCAAACAGGAUUAGAUACCCUGGUAGUCCACGCCGUAAACGAUGAGUGCUAAGUGUUAGGGGGUUUCCGCCCCUUAGUGCUGCAGCUAACGCAUUAAGCACUCCGCCUGGGAGUACGGCCGCAAGGCUG
rnacentral:rRNA from 1 species